rnacentral:rRNA from 1 species
CCUACGGGAGGCAGCAGUGAGGAAUUUUGCGCAAUGGGCGAAAGCCUGACGCAGCGACGCCGCGUGGAGGAUGAAGGCCUUCGGGUUGUAAACUCCUGUCAGGUGGGACGAAUCCCGGAUCGGUUAAUACCCGUUUCGGUUGACGGUACCACCAGAGGAAGCCCCGGCUAACUCCGUGCCAGCAGCCGCGGUAA